rnacentral:hammerhead_ribozyme from 1 species
GUACUGCUGAUGAGUCCCAUAAUAGGACGAAACGGCCGUCCAGUGC